rnacentral:rRNA from 1 species
CUGGAGGUAUCAGAAGUGCGAAUGCUGACAUAAGUAACGAUAAAGCGGGUGAAAAGCCCGCUCGCCGGAAGACCAAGGGUUCCUGUCCAACGUUAAUCGGGGCAGGGUGAGUCGACCCCUAAGGCGAGGCCGAAAGGCGUAGUCGAUGGGAAACAGGUUAAUAUUCCUGUACUUGGUGUUACUGCGAAGGGGGGACGGAGAAGGCUAUGUCAGCCGGGCGACGGUUGUCCCGGUUUAAGCGUGUAGGUGUGUGUUCCAGGCAAAUCCGGUUCACUUUAACACUGAGGCGUGAUGACGAGGCACUACGGUGCUGAAGUGAUAAAUGCCCUGCUUCCAGGAAAAGCCUCUAAGCAUCAGGUAACACGAAAUCGUACCCCAAACCGACACAGGUGGUCAGGUAGAGAAUACCAAGGCGCUUGAGAGAACUCGGGUGAAGGAACUAGGCAAAAUGGUGCCGUAACUUCGGGAGAAGG